ACAUCCAGAGAAUUUAGCAGAGAUGCUUUAGUGCCUUCGGGAACUCUGAGACAGGUGCUGCAUGGCUGUCGUCAGCUCGUGUUGUGAAAUGGUUGGGUUAAGUCCCGNAACGAGCGCAACCCUUAUCCUUUGUGCCAGCACGUAAUGGUGGGAACUCAAAGGAGACUGCCGGUGAUAAACCGGAGGAAGGUGGGGAUGACGUCAAGUCAUCAUGGCCCUUACGAGUAGGGCUACACACGUGCUACAAUGGCGCAUACAAAGAGAAGCGACCUCGCGAGAGCAAGCGGACCUCAUAAAGUGCGUCGUAGUCCGGAUUGGAGUCUGCAACUCGACUCCAUGAAGUCGGAAUCGCUAGUAAUCGUAAAUCAGAAUGUUACGGUGAAUACGUUCCCGGGCCUUGUACACACCGCCCGUCACACCAUGGGAGUGGGUUGCAAAAGAAGUAGAUAGCUUAACCUUCGGGAGGGCGUUUACCACUUUGUGAUUCAUGACUGGGGUGAAGUCGUAACAAGGUAAGCGUAGUGCU
rnacentral:rRNA from 1 species